rnacentral:tRNA from 1 species
GCCCGGCUGGCUCAUCAGAAGAGCAUGGGACUCUUGAUCUCGGAGUUGUGAGUUCAAGCCUCACGUUGGGUG